rnacentral:rRNA from 1 species
CCUACGGGAGGCAGCAGUGGGGAAUUUUGGACAAUGGGCGCAAGCCUGAUCCAGCAAUGCCGCGUGCAGGAUGAAGGCCUUCGGGUUGUAAACUGCUUUUGUACGGAGCGAAACGGUCUGCUUUAAUACAGUAGGCUAAUGACGGUACCGUAAGAAUAAGCACCGGCUAACUACGUGCCAGCAGCCGCGGUAAUACGUAGGGUGCUAGCGUUAAUCGGAAUUACUGGGCGUAAAGCGUGCGCAGGCGGUUAUAUAAGACAGAUGUGAAAUCCCCGGGCUCAACCUGGGACCUGCAUUUGUGACUGUAUAGCUAGAGUACGGUAGAGGGGGAUGGAAUUCCGCGUGUAGCAGUGAAAUGCGUAGAUGUGCGGAGGAACACCGAUGGCGAAGGCAAUCCCCUGGACCUGUACUGACGCUCAUGCACGAAAGCGUGGGGAGCAAACAGGAUUAGAUACCCUGGUAGUCCACGCCCUAAACGAUGUCAACUGGUUGUUGGGUCUUCACUGACUCAGUAACGAAGCUAACGCGUGAAAGUUGACCGCCUGGGGAGUACGGCCGCAAGGUUGAAACUCAAAGGAUUGACGGNUUGAGACGNGCGAGCGACACGAGGAGGAGG